rnacentral:rRNA from 1 species
GAUGAACGCUGGCGGCGUGCCUAAUACAUGCAAGUCGAGCGAAAAGACGAGGAGCUUGCUCCCCUGACGUUAGCGGCGGACGGGUGAGUAACACGUGGAUAACCUACCUAUAAGACUGGGAUAACUUCGGGAAACCGGAGCUAAUACCGGAUAAUAUAUUGAACCGCAUGGUUCAAUAGUGAAAGACGGUUUUGCUGUCACUUAUAGAUGGAUCCGCGCCGCAUUAGCUAGUUGGUAAGGUAACGGCUUACCAAGGCAACGAUGCGUAGCCGACCUGAGAGGGUGAUCGGCCACACUGGAACUGAGACACGGUCCAGACUCCUACGGGAGGCAGCAGUAGGGAAUCUUCCGCAAUGGGCGAAAGCCUGACGGAGCAACGCCGCGUGAGUGAUGAAGGUCUUCGGAUCGUAAAACUCUGUUAUUAGGGAAGAACAAAUGUGUAAGUAACUAUGCACGUCUUGACGGUACCUAAUCAGAAAGCCACGGCUAACUACGUG